rnacentral:rRNA from 1 species
AGAGAUGAGAGGGGGGCCGUCGGGAACAUGGAGACAGGUGCUGCAUGGCUGUCGUCAGCUCGAGUUGUGAGAUGUUGGGUUAAGUCCCGCAACGAGCGCAACCCUUAUCCUUAGUUGCCAGCACGUAAUGGUGGGAACUCUGGGGAGACUGCCGGUGACAAACCGGAGGAAGGUGGGGACGACGUCAAGUCAUCAUGGCCCUUACGGGAUGGGCUACACACGUGCUACAAUGGCGCAUACAAAGGGCAGCAAGCCAGCGAUGGUUAGCGAAUCUCAUAAAGUGCGUCGUAGUCCGGAUCGGAGUCUGCAACUCGACUCCGUGAAGUCGGAAUCGCUAGUAAUCGUGGAUCAGAAUGCCACGGUGAAUACGUUCCCGGGCCUUGUACACACCGCCCGUCACACCAUGGGAGUGGGCUGCACCAGAAGUGGUUAGUUUAACCUUCGGGAGAACGAUCACCACGGUGUGGUUCAUGACU